ensembl:snRNA U6 U6 spliceosomal RNA
AUGCUGGCUUCAGGAGCACAUAUACUAAAAUUGGAAUGAUACAGAGAUUAGCAUGGCUCCGUUGCACAAGGAUGACAGGACAGUUCCAGAAAGCAUUCCAUGUGUUU